AGAGUUGAUCCUGGCUCAGGACGAACGCUGGCGGCGUGCUUAACACAUGCAAGUCGAGCGGUAAGGCCCUUCGGGGUACACGAGCGGCGAACGGGUGAGUAACACGUGAGUAAUCUGCCCUUCACUUCGGGAUAACUCCGGGAAACCGGUGCUAAUACCGAAUAUGACCAUGCCGGGCAUCUGGUGUGGUGGAAAGUUCCGGCGGUGAUGGAUGAGCUCGCGGCCUAUCAGCUUGUUGGUGGGGUAGUGGCCUACCAAGGCUUCGACGGGUAGCCGGCCUGAGAGGGUGACCGGCCACACUGGGACUGAGACACGGCCCAGACUCCUACGGGAGGCAGCAGUGGGGAAUAUUGGACAAUGGGCGAAAGCCUGAUCCAGCAACGCCGCGUGAGGGAUGACGGCCUUCGGGUUGUAAACCUCUUUCACCUAUGACGAAGCGCAAGUGACGGUAGUAGGAGAAGAAGCACCGGCCAACUACGUG
rnacentral:rRNA from 1 species